CGUGUAGGUGGCCUGAUAAGGGUGUGGUGAAAGUCCGGGGCUCAACCCCGGAUCGGCCGUGCCGACUGUUAGGCUAGAGUACUGUAGGGGCAGGCGGAAUUCCGGGUGUAGCGGUGGAAUGCGUAGGGAUCCGGAGGAAGACCGGUGGCGAAGGCGGCCUGCUGGGCAGUUACUGACACUGAGGCGCGACAGCGUGGGGAGGCAAAACA
rnacentral:rRNA from 1 species